AGCAGCAACACAGCAAGGACACUCUGAAGAUCCGAAGGCCAGCGGGGCUCUUCCACACCUCGGUGGAGAGGUGCUGAGUGUUGCCCCCACCAGCAUUCGCCUCUCCCCGGUACUGACCAGCAGAGGGAGGAGAGAGGACCCACACGGCCCCGCAGCCCCUUCACACUACAGCCAAGCAAGAUUGCAGCGGACAGCCUCGACUUUAACACCUGUGACGUUAGCGCAUCUGACCUCACCCAGCAGACACACUGAAAGUGAGUGAACAAACAGUCCCAUGUCCGAUGCUGCAGUCACAUCUCCCAUGAGGCCCGGUGAUAGCUCUGGGGCAUGGGACGGAGUGACACCGCCAGCAGCCACUACAAGGCACUUUUGUAAACAAGUUGUGUGUGUGCUCAGAGGAGGAGGAGCAGGAGCUUCACCAGGAAAAUGAGGCUAAGCAAGACUGGUACUAAACAUGCACACCAAGAAACCCUAGCUGCAGUCACCAGCCUGCUGCAGAAUUCUCUGGGGAUGACAAGCAGAGCUGGCAAACGAAAGUGGAAGGGGC